GUAUGAAUGGCAUAACGAGGGUUUAACUGUCUCCCUCCCCCAGUCAAUGAAAUUGAUCUGCCCGUGCAGAAGCGGACAUAAACACAUAAGACGAGAAGACCCUAUGGAGCUUUAGACAAAAGAUCAAACAUGUAAAGAAACCAAACCAACCAAAAGGAACACAAAGGCCACAAAACCCAACGUAAAAUGAUCAAAAUGUCUUCGGUUGGGGCGACCAUGGGGGAAAGAAAAGCCCCCACGAGGAACUAAGGGCAAUCCAUUAAGCCAAGAGAUACACCUCUAAGCAACAGAAAAUCUGACCAAAAAUGACCCAGGACACUAAUCCUGAUCAACGAACCAAGUUACCCUAGGGAUAACAGCGCAAUCCUUUCCCAGAGUCCAUAUCGACGAAAGGGUUUACGACCUCGAUGUUGGAUCAGGACAUCCUAAUGGUGCAGCCGCUAUUAAGGGUUCGUUUGUUCAACGAUUAACAGUCCUACGUGAUCUA
rnacentral:rRNA from 1 species